UACGUAGGUCCCGAGCGUUGUCCGGAUUUAUUGGGCGUAAAGCGAGCGCAGGUGGUUUAUUAAGUCUGGUGUAAAAGGCAGUGGCUCAACCAUUGUAUGCAUUGGAAACUGGUAGACUUGAGUGCAGGAAAGGAGAGUGGAAUUCCAUGUGUAGCGGUGAGAUGCGUAGAUAUAUGGAGGAACACCGGUGGCGAAAGCGGCUCUCUGGCCUGUAACUGACACUGAGGCUCGAAAGCGUGGGGAGCAAACAGG
rnacentral:rRNA from 1 species